rnacentral:rRNA from 1 species
GAAAGGGGAGCAAUCCCUGAGUAAAGUGGCGCACGGGUGAGUAACACGUGAAUCAUCUACCUCCGAGUGGGGAAUAACCUAGAGAAAUCUGGGCUAAUACCGCAUAACACUUACGAGUCAAAGCAGCAAUGCGCUUGGAGAGGAGUUCGCGGCCGAUUAGCUAGUUGGCGGGGUAAUGGCCCACCAAGGCGAUGAUCGGUAUCCGGCCUGAGAGGGCGCACGGACACACUGGAACUGAAACACGGUCCAGACUCCUACGGGAGGCAGCAGUGGGGAAUUUUGCGCAAUGGGGGAAACCCUGACGCAGCAACGCCGCGUGGAGGAUGAAAUAUCUUGGUAUGUAAACUCCUUUCGAUGGGGAAGAUUAUGACGGUACCCAUAGAAGAAGCCCCGGCUAACUUCGUGCCAGCAGCCGCGGUAAUACGAGGGGGGCAAGCGUUGUUCGGAUUUAUUGGGCGUAAAGGGUGCGUAGGCGGUUUGGCAAGUCUUAUGUGAAAUCUUCGGGCUCAACCCGAAGCCUGCAUAAGAAACUGCCGGGCUUGAGUAUGGGAGAGGUGAGUGGAAUUUCCGGUGUAGCGGUGAAAUGCGUAGAUAUCGGAAGGAACACCUGUGGCGAAAGCGGCUCACUGGACCAUAACUGACGCUGAUGCACGAAAGCUAGGGGAGNCAACAGGAUUAGAUACCCUGGUAGUCCUAGCCCUAAACGAUGAUUGCUUGGUGUGGCAGGGUACCAACCUGCCGUGCCGAAGCUAACGCGAUA